CUAGUAUAGCAUUAUACGGCGAAACUGCGAAUGGCUCAUUAAAUCAGUUAUCGUCCACUUGAUCGCCCCUUACUACAUGGAUACCUGUGGUAAUUCUAGAGCUAAUACAUGCUAAAAACCCCGACUUACGGAGGGGUGGAUUUAUUAGAUUCAAAACCAAUGCCCUCCGGGGCUCCUUGGUGAGUCAUGAUAACUUCGCGGAUCGCAUGGCCUUGCGCCGGCGAUGGUUCAUCCGAAUUUCUGCCCUAUCAACUUUCGAUGGCUGGGUCUUGGCCAGCCAUGGUGACAACGGGUAACGGAGGGUUAGGGCUCGACCCCGGAGAAGGAGCCUGAGAGACGGCUACUACAUCCAAGGAAGGCAGCAGGCGCGCAAAUUACCCAAUCCCGACCCGGGGAGGUAGUGACAAUACAUACUGAUACAGGGCUCUUUUGGGUCUUGUAAUUGGAAUGAGUACAAUUUAAAUCCCUUAACGAGGAACAAUUGGAGGGCAAGUCUGGUGCCAGCAGCCGCGGUAAUUCCAGCUCCAAUAGCGUAUAUUAAAGUUGUUGAGGUUAAAAAGCUCGUAGUUGAACCUUGGGCCUGGCUGGCCGGUCCGCCUCACCGCGUGCACUGGUCCGGCCGGGCCUUUCCCUCUGGGGAUCCGCAUGCCCUUUACUGGGUGUGCCGGGGAACCAGGACGUUUACUCUGAACAAAUCAGAUCGCUUAAAGAAGGCCUAUGCUCGAAUGUUCUAGCAUGGAAUAAUGGAAUAGGACGUGCGGUUCUAUUUUGUUGGUUUCUAGGACCGCCGUAAUGAUUAAUAGGGACAGUCGGGGGCAUCAGUAUUCAAUUGUCAGAGGUGAAAUUCUUGGAUUUAUUGAAGACUAAACUACUGCGAAAGCAUUUGCCAAGGAUGUUUUCAUUAAUCAGGAACGAAAGUUAGGGGAUCGAAGACGAUCAGAUACCGUCGUAGUCUUACCAUAAACUAUGCCGAUUAGGGAUCGGACGGUGUUAUUUUUGACCGUUCGGCACCUUACGAAAAAUCAAAUGUUGGGCUCUGGGAGUAUGGUCGCAAGGCUGAAACUUUAAGAAUUUAACGGAAGA
rnacentral:rRNA from 1 species